rnacentral:rRNA from 1 species
CCUACGGGAGGCUGCAGUGGGGAAUAUUGCACAAUGGGGGAAACCCUGAUGCAGCAACGCCGCGUGGGUGAAGGAGCGUUUCGGCGCGUAAAGCGCUGACAGCGGGGAAGACGAAAGAAGGUAACCGACCAAGAAGCCCCGGCUAACUACGUGCCAGCAGCCGCGGUCAUACGUAGGGGGCGAGCGGUGUCCGGUAUUACUGGGGGUAAAGGGAGCGUAGGCGGCGAGGUAAUGCUGAAGUGGAAGCCCGCGGCCGAACCGCGGAACUGGUUUGGGGACGGUUUUGGUGGGGUAUGGGGGGGGUAAGCGGAAUUCCUGGUGUAGCGGUGAAAUGCGUAGAUAUCAGGAGGAACACCGGUGGCGAAGGCGGCUUACUGGACCAUAACUGACGUUGAGGCUCGAAAGCGUGGGGAGCGAACAGGAGUAGAUACCCCGGUAGUC